rnacentral:rRNA from 1 species
CGCCUUGCCAGCCCGCUCAGAACUUAAAUGAAUUGACGGGGGCCCGCACAAGCGGAGGAACAUGUGGUUUAAUUCGAUGAUACGCGAGGAACCUUACCUGGGCUAGAACGCAUUCGGAAUCAGGCCGAAAGGCCUGCGCCAGCGAUGGCCGCUUGCGAGGUGCUGCAUGGUUGUCGUCAGCUCGUGCCGUGAGGUGUCGGGUUAAGUCCCAUAACGAGCGCAACCCCUACUGCUAGUUGCCAGCGGGUCAUGCCGGGGACUCUAGCGGAACUGCCAGCGUAAGCUGCGAGGAAGGUGGGGAUGACGUCAAAUCAGCACGGCCCUUACGUCCAGGGCUACACACGUGUUACAAUGGCCGGUACAGAGGGCAGCCACCCCGCGAGGGGGCGCGAAUCCCGAAAGCCGGUCCCAGUUCGGAUCGGAGUCUGCAACCCGACUCCGUGAAGCUGGAUUCGCUAGUAAUCGCGCAUCAGCCACGGCGCGGUGAAUACGUUCCCGGGCCUU